GCCUAUUUAUAAAUAUCACAGUCAGCUGCCCAUUAAUAAAUACCACUGUAAGUGUUUUACAGUGAGUAUCCUUGUGUUUUGAAUGUACAUGUCUUUGACCAUGUGUAUUUUUGUGUCUGGGACCGUAUGUGUGUGGGGUAACUGCUUGCAGUGUGUUUGUGUAAUGGGGGCUGCCUUUGGCCUUUGUUCAUUUUGUUUAUGGCAAAGCUAUGUUUCAUGACUGUGUGUGUGUAUUAUGAUUGUCUUCAGGAGG